GCCCUCGUAGCUCAAUUUGGUAGAGCACCCGAAUUGUAAUCGGGAAGAUGGAGGUUCGAAUCCGACCGAGGGCCCCA
rnacentral:tRNA from 1 species